rnacentral:rRNA from 2 species
UAGAACUGCUUUGAAAACUGUUAAUCUAGAAUGUGGGAGAGGUAGAUGGAAUUUCUGGUGUAGGGGUAAAAUCCGUAGAGAUCAGAAGGAAUACCGAUUGCGAAGGCGAUCUACUGGAACAAUAUUGACGCUGAGACGCGAAAGCGUGGGGAGCAAACAGGAUUAGAUACCCUGGUAGUCCACGCCCUAAACGAUGUACACUAGUUGUUGUGAGGCUCGACCUUGCAGUAAUGCAGUUAACACAUUAAGUGUACCGCCUGGGGAGUACGGUCGCAAGAUUAAAACUCAAAGGAAUAGACGGGGACCCGCACAAGCGGUGGAGCAUGUGGUUUAAUUCGACGAUACACGAAGAACCUUACCUGGACUUGACAUAGUAAGAAUGAUUUAGAGAUAGAUUAGUGUCUGCUUGCAGAAACUUGCAUACAGGUGCUGCACGGCUGUCGUCAGCUCGUGUCGUGAGAUGUUGGGUUAAGUCCCGCAACGAGCGCAACCCUCGUCCUUAGUUGCUAACAGUUCGGCUGAGAACUCUAAGGAGACUGCCUACGCAAGUAGGAGGAAGGUGAGGAUGACGUCAAGUCAUCAUGGCCCUUACGUCCAGGGCUACACACGUGCUACAAUGGGGUAUACAAAGAGCA